UACGAAGGGGGCUAGCGUUGUUCGGAAUUACUGGGCGUAAAGGGCGCGUAGGCGGCCUGCUAAGUCGGACGUGAAAUCCCUCGGCUCAACCGAGGAACUGCGUCCGAUACUGGUGGGCUUGAAUCCGGGAGAGGGAUGUGGAAUUCCAGGUGUAGCGGUGAAAUGCGUAGAUAUCUGGAGGAACACCGGUGGCGAAGGCGGGUCUCUGGGCCGAAACUGACGCUGAGGAGCGAAAGCGUGGGGAGCAAACAGG
rnacentral:rRNA from 1 species